GGCCAGAGAGUGUCUGGAGUCUGUCUGAAACUGAUAAAAAUGGUGAUGGAGUUUAUCCAGAGUCUCGCUCAUAGUCAUUAGAAAAACAAAGGGAGACAGAGCGGAAUUUUACAAUCAUCCAACACUCUAGUCAUUUCGUAGCUUGAAAACUAGAUUCUAUUAUAGCGCAUUUCAAAGUUUUAUUCCAUGUUUUUUCACCAGACAGUUCAUUAAUUCACAGGCAGGAAGAUUGAGCUACACUGAAAGGUGAUGCCGAUGUUCUGGAGUUGAGCUGCCGUGCUGACGGAUAGCAAAGAGGAACCGAAAUGAUGUGUCUGCAGAGAUGAUGCAGUUCAGUCAGAAGCCAAAGAAAUGUCAGGGGUGAGUUCAAUAAGUCUGGGUAAUUGCGAUUCUGUCUUCUCGUCCGUUCGACUGAAUCAUCUUCCAUUAGAGGAGUGGUGGGGGGGUCCUUACCCAGGGCCAAAGAGCAAUCUAAAUCCUCAACGCCUGUUAAAACCUCUGCAAGUCAUCUCCAUACAAACAUGUGGAAAAUCCACCAACAUGCGCAAACAUCCCCUUUCUUAUUUUGUUGUUCUUUAUCUUUCGCUUGUAUCUUUACUAGGACUGUUGGUAUAAAUAAACUUUUACAACCAGAUUUAAAAAAAAAUGUGACAAACUUCCAGAGUAAACUGAGGUUAAGUGUCAGGCUCAUGGCACAAUAAUGACAGUUAUAAGAAACAUCCUUGUAAUGUUAUCUUUUUAUUGCUUUAUAGUUUUAAUUGCCAUGUCCAUUCAUAACCACAACACUUUCACCACCAGCAAUACUGUAUUGUUGAGUUCAAUUCUGGUGCAACUAAACAUUAUUUUUUUUUUUUUUUGUAUUCUUUUAUUUCUUUAUUGUUGCUGGUUUUGUGUUCAAUAACAAUCAGAAAUGAUAGAAAGGUACUUUAAAUAUUUUUAUAAGCUAUUUUUUGAAGAAGUAUUCUCACAUAUUCAGUGGUCCAGAAUCACAUCUGGCUUUUGUAUUAGAUGUGAAGGGACAUCUCAUAUAACCAAUGACAUGCCUGUCACUGUUGAAGGACUAGGAGCAGGCAGUCUUCACGCAACCAGGAGGGGUCUCUCUUUAAUGAAAAAUGUACAAUACUGCCAUCUGCUGAUGUUAACUAUGAAAGUGUUCAUUGAGAAGCAUGUAAAUAAAUGUGUCGAUUUACCCAGUGAUGGACUGGCCAUCCGUCUGAGAUGCUGGCCUCCAGCAUUCGUGCAACCCUGCUGAGGAUAAAGUGGUUUGGAGAAUUGAUAGAUGGAUAAUAAAUAUCAAGUAUGUGAAAGAUGCAAUGCAACACUUUUUUAUUUUUUAUAUUUUUUAUUGUAUCAUUAGUAAUAUAUUAUUUAUACUUUACAUUAUUUGUGCCUUCGGAUUGUAUUGGAUAGGGUCUAACUGUGUUUGAAAAGGUAAAGAAGAUUAAAUUUAUUUUUCUCUUUAAUGUGACAAUGUUUAAAUUAUCAGACGAUAUGUCUUUGAUACUAUGUUAUGAUAUGUCUACUUAUGUCUUUACCAAUUAAGUAAUGAUGAUGUCAUAACUAUUUGUGUAGGCUAUAAUGCUGGUAAUUUGUGGAAAUAAGUUUUUUUUUAAAGGGGCUAUGUGAUGAAAUUAAAAAAACAAAUAAAUAAAUGAGA